CUUUUAUUAACUAAAAAAAUUUAACUUACAAGACGUUAAUAUUAUGAUAAACGAGUCUUGCCUACUCAAAAAGAAUAAGUCUGUGUCUUCAAUGUUGAAAUCGCUUGUUUCAAAACUAAACUUCAAUAAAUCCAGACAAGUCACGACUAUGUACAACAAACCACCAGUACCAUGGACGACAAAACAUACAACAGGGCGAGACUCACAGCGCCUUCUGGAGUACUUUUCAAAAAAACUAAAUUUACAUUUUUCAUACAUCAUAACAGAAAGUUUAAAACUAUUAUCCUUCCAAAUAGAAACAACAUUACAUAAAUAAACUAACAAUAUUUUAAAUAUACAAAAGAUCAUAUUCUGUACCCGAUAAAUACAAUCCAUUUUAGCAGGAACAAACAGUCGAACACAUGACAGGACAACCAUCAUGGCGGUGCACAUCCACUCCUCCUUCACAGGUAAGUAACAUAUUAUAGAAAAUGUAAUUUCUUAACGACUCCACACCAGCCCCACAAUCCAAAACCUCACAAUGGUAGCAUGUGUUUCUUAUCCAUUUUCAUCUAUCUAUCUGUACACAUUUGGGUCACUACUAUCAUGAAAUUAUUGAUAGUGGACAGACUAUUAGUUCACAUGCUUUUUUUCUUAUUCACAAUCAUUAAGAUUGAAUAAAAGGCUAUGGAACAUGAUGGAUUUACAAGAUUAUACAAUUUGUCAAGUAGGUUGAUUGACGAAGUUGACAAGGUCGCAUGAGUAUUCAUCCAAAAGCUGAUCGGGAAGUGAGUAAGUGAAUGGUCAAGAGUUCAGAGUUCUCUGUUUGAGAUUGAGAGACAGUUUUUACUCUGAAUAUUGUUGCUACAAUAUUUAUCAACUAUCAGUCUAAUUUCCCAGCUAGGUUUGUGUGUUUUUACAUAUGCAAAAAUAUGAGGAGAGGCUAUAUAUGUUGUUCAAAUAUUUUGGGAUUUUUUAUUGUUUUUAUAAUUUGCUAAGCUUAUUCAGAUUAGAGCUUAUAAGCUCUUUGUUAGUAUAUUCUAAUAUUUUAUUGGAAUAGGUAUUUUUGGAUAGAUACAAACUUUUUGCUUUUGUUUACCCUUGUGAUGACUAUUUCAUUAUCCUUUUCC
rnacentral:lncRNA from 1 species